AACCACAAAGUUUGUGAAGAACCACAAAGUUGUGAAGAACCACAAAGUUGUGAAGAACCACAAAGUUGUGAAGAACCACAAAGUUGUGAAGAACCACGAAGUUGUGAAGAACCACAGAGUUUGUAAAGAACCACGAUGUUGUGAAGAACCACGAAGUUGAGAAGAACCACAAAGUUGUGAAGAACCACAGAGUUUGUGAAGAACCACAGAGUUUGUGAAGAACCACGAAGUUGUGAAGAACCACGACUGCUUGUCGUGUUUAUCGACUGACACACCUCACCGGCUCGCUCUCGAGAUGGCGCGUCUCGGCUGCAGGUGCAGCAGGAGGAGGAGGGCGCAGCUGGCAAUGGGGACACGGCCACUCCGACCACCCACAGCAGGGCGGGCAACCCCACACGCAUCAGCCACGAGACAGGCAUUCUACUGCCAGGGGGCGACAUCACCAUCCUGCUGCUGCUGUCUGACAGGCUACACGGGGCUCCUUUGUCUUUGGUGCCACUGGAGGGGCGCCUGCAGACCGGCAGGUGGCAGGUGACCGCGCGGGAGAUCCAUUCUCGACUAGUGGUGGUCGUCCAUCCUCGACUGUUGGUGGUCGUCUAUCCUCGACUAGUGGUGGUCGUCUAUCCUCGACUAGUGGUGGUCGUCUAUCCUCGACUGUUGGUGGUCGUCUAUCCUCGACUAGUGGUGGUCGUCUAUCCUCGACUAGUGGUGGUCGUCUAUCUCGACUGUUGGUGGUCGUCUAUCCUCGACUAGUGGUGGUCGUCUAUCCUCGACUAGUGGUGGUCGUCUAUCCUCGACUAGUGGUGUUCGUCUAUCCUCGACUAGUGGUGUUCGUCUAUCCUCGACUAGUGGUGGUCGUCUAAUUCUCGACUAGUGGUGGUCGUCUAUCCUCGACUGUUGGUGUUCGUCUAUCCUCGACUAGUGGUGGUCGUCUAUCCUCGACUAGUGGUGGUCGUCUAUCCUCGACUAGUGGUGGUCGUCUAUCCUCGACUAGUGGUGGUCGUCUAUCCUCGACUAGUGGUGGUCGUCUAUGCUCGACUAGUGGUGGUCGUCUAUCCUCGACUGUUGGUGUUCGUCUAUCCUCGACUAGUGGUGGUCGUCCAUCCUCGACUGUUGGUGCUGGUCUAUCCUCGACUAGUGGUGUUCGUCUAUGCUCGACUAGUGGUGGUCGUCUAUACUCGACUGUUGGUGUUCGUCUAUCCUCUACUGUUGGUGUUCGUCUAUCCUCGACUAGUGGUGGUCGUCUAUCCUCGACUGUUGGUGUUCGUCUAUCCUCGACUGUUGGUGGUCGUCCAUCUCGACUGUUGGUGGUCGUCUAUCCUCGACUAGUGGUGGUCGGCUAUCCUCGACUAGUGGUGGUCGUCUAUCCUCGACUAGUGGUGAUCGUCUAUCCUCGACUGUUGGUGGUCGUCUAUCCUCGACUGUUGGUGGUCGUCUAUCCUCGACUAAUGGUGGUCGUCUAUCCUCGACGGGACACUUUUUGCCAUUAUAAUUUUGAUGCAUCUCAACUCGAGCUGGACAUAAGUAAACAUGUACAGUACAACUAAAUAGUUUAACAUGUUGCAGGCUUUCGCGACCAAUAUCAUCCAUAACUACGUCUACAACCCACCACCACCACCCGACACAGCCAACUAGUAAGGGUUGCCACGUAAACAUCACACAAA